rnacentral:rRNA from 1 species
CCUACGGGAGGCAGCAGUGAGGAAUAUUGGUCAAUGGACGAGAGUCUGAACCAGCCAAGUAGCGUGAAGGAUGACUGCCCUAUGGGUUGUAAACUUCUUUUAUAUGGGAAUAAAAUGUUCCACGUGUGGGAUUCUGUAUGUACCAUAUGAAUACGGAUCGGCUAACUCUGCGCCAGCAGCCGGGGUAAUCCGGAGGAUACGAGCGUUCGCCGGUUUUAUUGGGUUUAAAGGGAGCGUAGGUGGAUGUUUACGUCAGUUGUGAAAGUUUGGGGCUCAACCGUAAAAUUGCAGUUGAAACUGGCAGUCUUGAGUGCAGUAGAGGUGGGCGGAAUUCGUGGUGUAGCGGUGAAAUGCUUAGAUAUCACGAAGAACUCCGAUUGCGAAGGCAGCUCACUGGACUGCAACUGACACUGAGGCUCGAAAGUGUGGGUAUCAAACAGGAUUAGAUACCCCUGUAGUC